rnacentral:rRNA from 1 species
AACGAACGCUGGCGGCAUGCCUAACACAUGCAAGUCGAACGAGACCUUCGGGUCUAGUGGCGCACGGGUGCGUAACGCGUGGGAACCUGCCCUUAGGUUCGGAAUAACUCCCCGAAAGGGGUGCUAAUACCGGAUAAUGUCUUCGGACCAAAGAUUUAUCGCCUUUGGAUGGGCCCGCGUUGGAUUAGCUAGUUGGUAGGGUAAAAGCCUACCAAGGCGACGAUCCAUAGCUGGUCUGAGAGGAUGAUCAGCCACACUGGGACUGAGACACGGCCCAGACUCCUACGGGAGGCAGCAGUGGGGAAUAUUGGACAAUGGGCGAAAGCCUGAUGCAGCAAUGCCGCGUGAGUGAUGAAGGCCUUAGGGUUGUAAAGCUCUUUUACCCGGGAUGAUAAUGACAGUACCGGGAGAAUAAGCUCCGGCUAACUACGUG